rnacentral:rRNA from 1 species
AGAGUUUGAUCAUGGCUCAGGAUGAACGCUGGCGGCGUGCCUAAUACAUGCAAGUCGAACGGAGUAGCAAUGCUGAGUGGCGACCGGGUGCGUAACACGUAGCUGACCUACCCCUCAGCGGGGGAUAACACACCGAAAGGUGUGCUAAUACCGCAUGACCUGUCGGCCAUUAGCAAACUGACAGAAAACUUCCGGGGUUGAGGGAGGGGGCUGCGGCCCAUCAGGUGGUUGGUGAGGUAACGGCUCACCAAGCCUACGACGGGUAGGGGGUCUGAGAGGAUGAUCCCCCACACUGGGACUGACAACGGCCCAGACUCCUACGGGAGGCAGCAGUAAGGAAUAUUGCGCAAUGGGCGAAAGCCUGACGCAGCAACGCCGCGUGGAGGAUGACGGGUUUCGGCUUGUAAACUCCUUUUGGGGGUGACGAGGAAGGACGGUAGCCCCCGAAUAAGUCACGGCUAACUACGUGCCAGCAGCCGCGGUAAAACGUAGGUGGCGAGCGUUAUCCGGAUUUACUGGGCGUAAAGGGUGUGCAGGCGGACGGUCAAGUGGUGUAUGAAAGCGCUGGGCUUAACUCAGCAAGCGUAGGCCAGACUGACGGUCUUGGGUGUGAGAGAGGGGCGUGGAAUUCCGGGUGUAGUGGUAAAAUGCGUAGAGAUCCGGAGGAACCCCAGAGGCGAAGGCGGCGCCCUGGCUCACAACCGACGCUCAGACACGAUAGCAUGGGUAGCGAACGGGAUUAGAAACCCCGGUAGUCCAUGCCGUAAACGAUGCACGCUAGGCGCUGGGGGACUGAACCCCUUCAGUGCCGUAGGUAACCUGAUAAGCGUGCCGCCUGGGGAGUACGACCGCAAGGUUAAAACUCAAAGGAAUUGACGGGGGCCCGCACAAGCAGCGGAGCGUGUGGUUUAAUUCGAGGCUACACGAAGAACCUUACCUGGGUUUGACAUGGCGUUGAACGAGAGUGAAAGCUUGAGGUCCGCAAGGCAGCGUCACAGGUGCUGCAUGGCUGUCGUCAGCUCGUGCCGUGAGGUGUUCGGUUAAGUCCGCAAACGAGCGCAACCCUCGGUGCUAGUUACACGUGUCUAGCACUACUGCCCGUGACAAGCGGGAGGAAGGUGGGGAUGACGUCAAGUCAGCAUGGCCUUUAUAUCCAGGGCUACACACACGCUACAAUGGUCGGUACAAUGGGUCGCCAAGCCGCAAGGCGGAGCAAAUCCUGCAAAGCCGAUCACAGUUCGAAUUGUGGGCUGCAACCCGCCCACAUGAAGCUGGAGUUGCUAGUAACCGCGCGUCAGCCAUAGUGCGGUGAAUACGUUCCCGGGCCUUGUACACACCGCCCGUCACGUCAUGGGAGCUGGUCACGCCUGAAGUCGGUGGGCUAACCGCAAGGGGGCAACCGCCGAGGGCAGGGCUGGUGACUGGGACGAAGUCGUAACAAGGUAACC